rnacentral:pre_miRNA from 1 species
UAUUAAAAGUUUUAUUCAUUUCUAUUAUUAAAAACAUGCACGAUCGAUUGAAUAACUAAACAGUUACAUGUGACAUGCCAGUGUAUCUCAAUUUGACAUACACGGAUUAGUUUUUAACAAUAGAAAUGGAUGAAGUUCUAAAUU